UGCGUGGGUGGUAUGGCAAGUCAGAAGUGAAAACCCAGGGCUUAACUCUGGGACUGCUUUUGAAACUGUCAGACUAGAGUGUAGGAGAGGUAAGCGGAAUUCCUAGUGUAGCGGUGAAAUGCGUAGAUAUUAGGAGGAACAUCAGUGGCGAAGGCGGCUUACUGGACUGAAACUGACACUGAGGCACGAAAGCGUGGGGAGCAAACA
rnacentral:rRNA from 1 species